AUAAAAACCCACCAUGGACUAUGCAAUUUUGAUAUAAGGGGUGGGGCGGAGCCGGACAUGGUAACCGCUCGGAAGUCUAGGCUGCUGGGUUGGAGGGAGGAGGAGGGACCGGUAUCUGCUGCCGCUGCCACUGCCGCCGGUGCUCCAACCUGUUCCGUGUGGCCCACGCUGGCCUUGCCGCGGCCAUGAUGAUCCAUGGCUUCCAGAGCAGCCACCAGGACUUCUCCUUCGGGCCGUGGAAGCUAACGGCGUCCAAGACCCACAUCAUGAAGUCGGCGGAUGUGGAGAAGUUAGCUGAUGAAUUGCAUAUGCCAUCUCUCCCCGAAAUGAUGUUUGGAGACAAUGUUUUAAGAAUCCAGCAUGGCUCUGGCUUUGGAAUUGAGUUCAAUGCUACAGAUGCAUUAAGAUGUGUGAACAACUACCAAGGAAUGCUUAAAGCAGCCUGUGCUGAAGAGUGGCAGGAAAGCAGGACGGAGGGUGAACACUCUAAAGAGGUUAUUAAACCAUAUGAUUGGACCUAUACAACGGAUUAUAAGGGAACAUUACUUGGAGAAUCACUUAAGUUAAAGGUUGUACCUACAACAGAUCAUAUAGAUACAGAGAAACUGAAAGCCAGAGAACAGAUUAAGUUUUUCGAAGAAGUUCUCCUAUUUGAGGAUGAACUUCAUGAUCAUGGAGUUUCAAGCCUGAGUGUGAAAAUUAGAGUAAUGCCUUCUAGCUUUUUCUUGCUGUUGCGAUUUUUCUUGAGAAUUGAUGGGGUGCUUAUUAGAAUGAAUGACACAAGACUUUACCAUGAGGCUGACAAGACCUACAUGUUACGAGAAUAUACAUCACGAGAGAGCAAAAUUGCUAAUUUAAUGCAUGUUUCACCUUCCCUCUUCACGGAACCUAAUGAAAUAUCACAGUAUUUACCAAUAAAGGAGGCAGUUUGUGAGACGCUAAUAUUUCCAGAAAGGAUCCUAAACCCUGCAGGCUCAAAAGAAUGUACACCUGUGGAAUAGAAUGUGUUAUGACAUAUAUUCACUGUGGAAUCUGACUGGCUAUUUGGAGGGGGGUAUUUUUAUUUUGAGAAUUAAUUGCCUUGUCUAUGUGCAGAUUUUCUGUAACCUUAAAGGAAAAAAAAAAAUAAAGGAUUGUUGCAGGCAGAUUCCACUCAAAAAAAAAAAAAAU